rnacentral:misc_RNA from 1 species
GAAGUAUCAUUAUUUUUCUGUUAAUCUAAUAUGCUUUCUAUAAAGUGAUUACUUUAUGAAAAAUAAAUACCACUUAUGAAAAAUUUAUGAGAGAAAACAUAAAAAUUUGUCACAUUUAAAUUUUUUAUAUGUAUAGUGAUUACUUUAACUCCGCCUAAGUAAUUUAUGCUUAGUCGGUCUCAAGCCCAGAUAAAGGAGAAGGGUUACGGUAAAUGACAACCAGCGUAAAAAUUUCG